rnacentral:rRNA from 1 species
AUUGAACGCUGGCGGCAUGCUUUACACAUGCAAGUCGAACGGUAACAGGUUAAGCUGAUGAGUGGCGAACGGGUGAGUAAUGCAUCGGAACGUGCCCGAUCGUGGGGGAUAACGCAGCGAAAGCUGCGCUAAUACCGCAUACGAUCUGAGGAUGAAAGCGGGGGACCGUAAGGCCUCGCGCGAUCGGAGCGGCCGAUGUCAGAUUAGGUAGUUGGUGGGGUAAAGGCCCACCAAGCCGACGAUCUGUAGCUGGGCUGAGAGGACGACCAGCCACACUGGGACUGAGACACGGCCCAGACUCAUACGGGAGGCAGCAGUGGGGAAUUUUGGACAAUGGGCGAAAGCCUGAUCCAGCAAUGCCGCGUGCAGGAAGAAGGCCUUCGGGUUGUAAACUGCUUUUGUACGGAGCGAAAAGGUCCUUUCUAAUACAGGGGGCUCAUGACGGUACCGUAAGAAUAAGCACCGGCUAACUACGUGCCAGCCGCCGCCGUAA